GGCAGCAGUGGGGAAUAUUGGGCAAUGGGCGAAAGCCUGAUCCAGCGAUGCCGCGUGUGUGAAGAAGGCCUGCGGGUUGUAAAGCACUUUCAGUGGGGAGAAAGAACCUAUGCCUAAUAUGCGUAGGGAAAGAUGUUACCCACAGAAGAAGCACCGGCUAACUCUGUGCCAGCAGCCGCGGUAAUACAGAGGGUGCGAGCGUUAAUCGGAAUUACUGGGCGUAAAGCGUGCGUAGGUGGUUCAAUAAGUUAGGUGUGAAAUUCCUGGGCUUAACCUGGGGACUGCGCCUAAUACUGUUAAGCUAGAGUAUUGUAGAGGAAAGUGGAAUUUCCGGUGUAGCGGUGAAAUGCGUAGAUAUCGGAAGGAAUAUCAGUGGCGAAGGCGGCUUUCUGGACAAAUACUGACACUGAGGCACGAAAGCAUGGGGAGCAAACAGGAUUAGAUACCCUGGUAGUCCAUGCCGUAAACGAUGAGGACUGGCUGUUGGGCAUCUACUGAUGCUUAGUAGCGAAGCUAACGCGUUAAGUCUUCCGCCUGGGGAGUACGGUCGCAAGAUUAAAACUCAAAGGAAU
rnacentral:rRNA from 1 species